rnacentral:rRNA from 1 species
UACGAAGGGGGCGAGCGUUGUUCGGAUUUACUGGGCGUAAAGGGCGCGUAGGCGGCGGGUCAAGUCGAGUGUGAAAGCCCCGGGCUCAACCUGGGAAUUGCGCUCGAGACUGGUCUGCUUGAGUUCGGGAGAGGAGCGUGGAAUUCCCAGUGUAGAGGUGAAAUUCGUAGAUAUUGGGAAGAACACCGGUGGCGAAGGCGGCGCUCUGGACCGACACUGACGCUGAGGCGCGAAAGCUAGGGGAGCAAACGGG